rnacentral:rRNA from 1 species
CACGUAGGGCGCGAGCGUUGUCCGGAAUUAUUGGGCGUAAAGAGCUCGUAGGCGGCCUGUUGCGUCCGCUGUGAAAGCCCCGGGCUUAACCUGGGAACGGCAUUUGAAACUGGCAGGCUGGAGUACGGCAGAGGGGGGUGGAAUUCCACGUGUAGCAGUGAAAUGCGUAGAGAUGUGGAGGAACACCGAUGGCGAAGGCAGCCCCCUGGGCCGAUACUGACGCUCAGGCACGAAAGCGUGGGGAGCAAACAGG